CUGGAUGAUGAAAUGCACUGGGCUCCGACCAGUUCUUCUGUUGUUUUGAAGGAAAUGCACUUGCGUAGAAUGCCUUGGCUGACUU